GUGGUGGCUCAGUGGUAAAGCGCUCUCCUAGCAUGUGCAAGGCCCUAGGUUCGAUCCUCAGCACCACA
rnacentral:tRNA from 1 species